AGCGCAAGCUUUCUUCAUUCUUAACACAUGCAAGUCGAGCGGGCACUUUCGGGUGUCAGCGGCGGACGGGUGAGUAACGCGUGGGAACGUGCCCUCUGGUUCGGAAUAACUCAGGGAAACUUGAGCUAAUACCGGAUACGCCCUUUUGGGGAAAGGCUUGCUGCCGGAGGAUCGGCCCGCGUCUGAUUAGCUAGUUGGUGAGGUAACGGCUCACCAAGGCGACGAUCAGUAGCUGGUCUGAGAGGAUGAUCAGCCACACUGGGACUGAGACACGGCCCAGACUCCUACGGGAGGCAGCAGUGGGGAAUAUUGGACAAUGGGCGCAAGCCUGAUCCAGCCAUGCCGCGUGAGUGAUGAAGGCCUUAGGGUUGUAAAGCUCUUUUAUCCGGGACGAUAAUGACGGUACCGGAGGAAUAAGCCCCGGCUAACUUCGUG
rnacentral:rRNA from 1 species